rnacentral:piRNA from 1 species
UGGUAAAGAGAGGAAGACAAACACUGACA